rnacentral:lncRNA from 1 species
GAUUCAAAAAAUCAUCACCAAGACCUAUGUCAGGAAGAUUACUGCCUACGUUUUCUUCCAGGAGUUCUGUGGUUUCAGGUCUUCCUUGUUUCUUAAGGCAUGGCGUCAGGAUGAACUUCCAUAGGGAAAUUCUAAUUUUACAACUUACAACAUAUACCAUGUCUAAGGGCCCUCCCUGAGGGGAAAAGAGUAUGACAAUCUGAAAGAUUUGCCAGCUGCACCGCCACCCUGUUUGGAUAACAGCGAUUAUCUCUACUCCACCACAUUUAUCAAAACACUCACUCUGGGAGAAGUCAGCUGCCAUGUUGAAAGGAAACCCAAACAUCCCUAUGAAGUCGACUUGGUGAAAAACUGAAGCCUUCUGCUAAUAACCAAUGAGAAACUGAGACAAGCAGCCAACAACCAUGUCAGCAAGCUGUCUUGGGCAGGAGUUCUUCAGCUCCAUUCAGACUCUCGGCUAAUUGUAGCCCUCAUUGAUUUCUUCAUUGCAAUCUAUGAGGGAACCAUUAGUCUAAGAUGCUCUUGAAAACUUGAUGUAAAGAAACUGAGAAAGGAUAAAUCUUUGUUAUUUUACAAUGCUAAGUUUGGGCACACUUUGUAACACGG